CCCUGACAAUUAUAAUACAUUUCGACAAAUCCAGUGGAAAUUUAUAUCUCCCCUCAUCUCUCAUAUGGGUGAUAUCCAUCAACAGCAUAAAAAGACAGGUAGAUUGGAAGAACGUUCGUUCUCUGUCUACUAAUCCUGAUGAUUGCUCCACUUCCAAUCUACCUGUCGUUUUAUCCUCAUCAUUGCCGUCAACAGUCCAUUCUACACAUAUGUCGACGGAAUAAAGUCAUGUAAAUAUCAUUUAAAGAAAAUUGUCGGCGAAACGCCACUUGAGUUUGAAGAGCUUUUAGCACUGUAUUGGCACAGAUCAAAGCAUGUUUAAAUUUGAGACCAUUAUGUCAAUUGUCAUCUGAUCCUAAUGAUUUACAAGCUCUGACGCCUGUACAUUUUUUAAUAGACGAACCGCUUACAAGUUGGCUCGAUAUCGAUGUCGCGGAUAAUCCUAUUAACAGAUAUGGCAGUUGACUCAACGAAUAGCGCAAUAUUUUUGGAAACGAUAGAGCGUAGAGUAUUUGACAACAUUAUAGGAUAAAAAAGCAAUGAUCGGAACAAUAUAUCUGUCGUUGGGACGAAGUUACUUUUCGCUGCGCCCUUUUUCCACGAUAAUCAGCUGACAUUUCUGUGCACAGCUGACAAAGACCCAGAUGACAAGGUGGAGGGAUGGCCAACUCUAUUUUCAAAUAACUCAUACGGAUUUAAGAAGCUCAGGUAGGCUGGUAACGACGGUGCAAGUUUCGCUCUCGUUUCAUUUGCCGAUUUCUCCUUCAAGGAUCUACACAUGCACGCUGUAAUGCUGUGUAUACACAUAGUAAAACGGCCGAGAGAUUUCCGGGAAGAUAAAAAUAUCGUCAGAUACUCGCCAUAAAUUUUUUCCUGCGCCGCGAGGUACCAGGAUCCGAUAUACAUAAACACGUUCGACGAGAAUCACUGAAUUUCCAUUUUCGACGUCGACUUAUCACCCGUCAUUUCGCGAUUUACCGACGUCAUCUCGUCAGCGCUAUUUUGACAUGAGUAAUAGAAAGAUAACGAAGACAUUGACCAAAACGUAAUGAGACAACGACGUUACAUACAAAGGGCUUUCUUGGAGACUUAUAAUUAAAAGAACGAAUAAUAGAAAAUAUUCCAGAGGAAUAUAAUAUGAGGCUAAGUCGAUCUUCGAACAUCAAUAAGAUUAAUACGGAAAAUGAUGCAUGUCUCGUUUGUGCAAAUGGUGAUAUGCCUAUAGGUGCACAUAUAUGUUAUAUAUAACAAAAAUUUGUUUAUACUAUUGAUGAUUAUUCUGCACUAAUUGGAGAAACAGGGUGUGGUCAGAAACGAAUUUGUAAAAUUUUGAACUAUCUGGAAGUGCGAACGAAGUCUGAGCGAUAAGAGAAAUAGAGGAUAAUUGGAGAGGAUUUGCAUCUAAAACUUCUCCCAGAGGCAGAUACCUUUAACGAGACAAUAUAGAACAGGAUUUUCCAUUAGAAAAGCUUAAAAAAUACCUAUUAUAAAAAAUGAUAGUAGCGUGUUGGGGAAAGCAAUUAAAAUAGGAAAUCAAAAAUAUUCUCUUAAUUCAUUUGAGUCUGAAACUACUUAUGACGUAAAUGAUGACUUAGGAAUACAUUACAGUUGAAACGAACGAAUAGCUUUGUUUCCAUUCAUUUGAAUUAAAAGACAAUCUCGUCAUAAAUUUAUAAGCAACAAAACAUCACAAUCCAAAAAUGAUAAAUAGUUCAAUUUUUGCUUCAAUCGAAAUAAAUCAAAAAAUAUAUAGUCAUAAAUAAAGUGUUAUGAAUGCAAAAUCAUAAAUCUUUAUUUCAGUAAAAAAGAAGAAUAAAACAUGUAAGCCUUGAAUGCAUAGCCAAUGAAUUUAGUAGCAUGACUGUAUUGAAUUUUUGGUAUUAAGAAUCGCUAUGACUAAAACAGGCCUUUUAUUCUUGCGUUGUAAUUCUGUCAGUACGUAUUAUUAUAUAACUUUUUUUAAAACUUUUUAACUUUUAUUAGAACAACACUGCAACUAAGAAGCACAGAUAGUAACGUCGUUGAAAUAGUCACUUCAAAUGGAGAAUCUAUACAACUAACUUCUAACGUCACAUUAACAACAUUAAAACUUGUAAUACAACUAUUUUACAAUCAAUUAUUAAUAGAUAGUCAUAGAAUGAUAUCUCAAUAACCAUCUUAAAGACACGUAUAGACUGGAUUGAUACAAUUUUCGUAUUAAGGUGCAAAAUAAAGAAAUAAAUAAGUUUAUGCAAAAAUUGAACAAUUUAUUGAUUUAUCACUUGAAAAUUAAUAUUUCAUAGAUAUUUCGCUUUCCGUGCAUAUUUUUAUUGCUUUCAUUGUUUUUAUAUACAUCAAUCGCACGUAUACUUAUCACAGAAGAAUUUUGUGUGGUUCUGAUAGCUGGUCUUAUAAAUUAAGCACUUGCGAGAAACAGUAAAAGAUCAUUCAUCAUCACUCAGCACAUCUACGAAUUGCAGCACAGAAUUUAAGGAGAUUAAUGUAUACGGAUCACAUAAAUAUGUUUUGAAACAUUGUUAACAAAAGCAUUUAUAUUACAAAACUGACAUAUAAUAAUGUACAGCCGUGAAAAAAUUUUGAAACAAAUAUAUCAUGUAAGGACUAAUUUGUACGGAGCCGUAUAGAUGUUAUAAAUAAUGCAAAUAGUUAUAUAAUCAAUAUUAAUCUUUUAGGUAUUUUCUAGUUUGUAAAACGUAUUAACAUUUCACGGAGUUGUAAACUUUUUCAUAACUUUGUACUCCU